UUAAAUUGAAGAGUUUGAUCAUGGCUCAGAUUGAACGCUGGCGGCAGGCCUAACACAUGCAAGUCGAACGGUAACAGGAAGCAGCUUGCUGCUUUGCUGACGAGUGGCGGACGGGUGAGUAAUGUCUGGGAAACUGCCUGAUGGAGGGGGAUAACUACUGGAAACGGUAGCUAAUACCGCAUAACGUCGCAAGACCAAAGAGGGGGACCUUAGGGCCUCUUGCCAUCGGAUGUGCCCAGAUGGGAUUAGCUUGUUGGUGGGGUAACGGCUCACCUAGGCGACGAUCCCUAGCUGGUCUGAGAGGAUGACCAGCCACACUGGAACUGAGACACGGUCCAGACUCCUACGGGAGGCAGCAGUGGGGAAUAUUGCACAAUGGGCGCAAGCCUGAUGCAGCCAUGCCGCGUGUAUGAAGAAGGCCUUCGGGUUGUAAAGUACUUUCAGCGGGGAGGAAGGGAGUAAAGUUAAUACCUUUGCUCAUUGACGUUACCCGCAGAAGAAGCACCGGCUAACUCCGUGCCAGCAGCCGCGGUAAUACGGAGGGUGCAAGCGUUAAUCGGAAUUACUGGGCGUAAAGCGCACGCAGGCGGUUUGUUAAGUCAGAUGUGAAAUCCCCGGGCUCAACCUGGGAACUGCAUCUGAUACUGGCAAGCUUGAGUCUCGUAGAGGGGGGUAGAAUUCCAGGUGUAGCGGUGAAAUGCGUAGAGAUCUGGAGGAAUACCGGUGGCGAAGGCGGCCCCCUGGACGAAGACUGACGCUCAGGUGCGAAAGCGUGGGGAGCAAACAGGAUUAGAUACCCUGGUAGUCCACGCCGUAAACGAUGUCGACUUGGAGGUUGUGCCCUUGAGGCGUGGCUUCCGGAGCUAACGCGUUAAGUCGACCGCCUGGGGAGUACGGCCGCAAGGUUAAAACUCAAAUGAAUUGACGGGGGCCCGCACAAGCGGUGGAGCAUGUGGUUUAAUUCGAUGCAACGCGAAGAACCUUACCUGGUCUUGACAUCCACGGAAGUUUUCAGAGAUGAGAAUGUGCCUUCGGGAACCGUGAGACAGGUGCUGCAUGGCUGUCGUCAGCUCGUGUUGUGAAAUGUUGGGUUAAGUCCCGCAACGAGCGCAACCCUUAUCCUUUGUUGCCAGCGGUCCGGCCGGGAACUCAAAGGAGACUGCCAGUGAUAAACUGGAGGAAGGUGGGGAUGACGUCAAGUCAUCAUGGCCCUUACGACCAGGGCUACACACGUGCUACAAUGGCGCAUACAAAGAGAAGCGACCUCGCGAGAGCAAGCGGACCUCAUAAAGUGCGUCGUAGUCCGGAUUGGAGUCUGCAACUCGACUCCAUGAAGUCGGAAUCGCUAGUAAUCGUGGAUCAGAAUGCCACGGUGAAUACGUUCCCGGGCCUUGUACACACCGCCCGUCACACCAUGGGAGUGGGUUGCAAAAGAAGUAGGUAGCUUAACCUUCGGGAGGGCGCUUACCACUUUGUGAUUCAUGACUGGGGUGAAGUCGUAACAAGGUAACCGUAGGGGAACCUGCGGUUGGAUCACCUCCUUACCUUAAAGAAGC
rnacentral:rRNA from 1 species